GCAGCACUCAGACCGACGGAGCUCAGUCUUCUGUGCGCCUUUGGGGACCCAAACAGAGACAGGAGGGGAGAAGACCGGCUCUCAGAGCAUCCCACAGUUGGGUUCCACCUUUCCUGACAGAAGGACUUGAACCUCUGAACCCAGCAGGAGAUCCUUGUCCACUAGCUGGUUCCUGGAAGGGUCUUCUUCAACUUGUCUGCCAUGGAGUCACUUUGGAGGCUCCUAACCUGCUCAUUCUAGGGAGACAGCAUGGCGGACAUGCUAGUUAACAAUUGAAAAAGAAAAACAAGAAGAAGCCCCCCCUUGCUUGUCAAGUGUGAACACACGGGCUAAAUGAGUGUUCAGGAGGUGACGUGCAUUCACACAUCCCCGGUGAGUCUGUAACUUGAUGGCGCCACCAGCUUGACCUCGUCAGCAGUGUCCAUGUGAUGCAGUUGACAUUCUACCCCUUGGUGGGGCUUUGUUUGACAGACAGACCAGCAAAAGCCAGGGAACCGGAAACGUCUGUCCUAUGACACACAAGUUUGUGUGUUUGUUCCACAUGUUAGACAAUCUUUAUUGAAAAACAAACAACUUUACAUUUAUGUUCAUGUCAUUUCAUGUAAUGGUACAUUUGUAAAGAUAAACAAUUCAACUGAAACUGAUAUUCUUGCAGUUUGUCAAGUCCCUGCUUUGCUGCAUCUGUGAGGAAAUCAACCAGUACUAUAAAAGACUGUUAUCACACCAGUGAUGGCCACAGAGCAGAUAUAUAUCCCCAGGCAGAAUGGUAUAACACUGCAGGGAAUAUUAAUAUUAUAGAAAUAUAACAAAAUAUUUGUGGAGAUAAUAUGUCUGAUAUUAAGAAGCUAAACUAUUUUCCAGUGCCUCAUAUUAACAAUUGAAAAUUUGAUGCAUUCCAGAAAGUCCUGCUCUACAGCUGAUUUACAUAGAAAUUGCCUUAUUUUGGACUAAAUAAGAAGCUCUUUCAUUGACUUAUCACACUGCAUUUUCCAAGGUCCAUGAAAGGAUAUUGCUUGAGUGCUCUGUACGUGCACUGUGCAUGUGGCUUCAUUUUUAGCAUUAAGAUUAGGCCUUCCCAUUUAAUAAACUGGAA